CAGAGCAGUGGAACAUGUUGCCCAGAGAGGCUGUAAAGUCUCCUUCUCCAGGGAUAUUCAAACCCUGCCUGAACACUUUCCUGUGUAACAUUCUGUAGGGAAGCUGCUCUAAGCGGUGUUGGACUGGGGGAUUUCCAGAGGUUCCUUCCAACCCCUGCAAUUCUGUGACUCUGUGAGGUUCCUGUUGUGAAGAGAGCUCCUCAACUAGCAGCUGCCUGGAGCAUCUGGAGACCCUGCAGAGGCCCUGUGUUCUCAGAAGGCGGAUGGCUUCACAACAUGGGCACUGGAUUAGGAACUAAGGUUUCUCUUUUCAGCAGCUUCUCAGUGGUGAUCGACAGUCCUCUUGUAGUGAGCACAUCAGGUAAGGGAAGCAGGCCUGGCAGUUGGUUGCUCAGAAGGCUGAGACAUUGCUUUGUAUCAUGGAUUUUGCAUGGAAAGGUCAGGAUUCACGCACAGACAAAUCCCUCCUUUUGCCUGACUCUCCUGUCACUUCCUUAAUCUGUCAAUGUCCUCUGUCUUAGCUUUCUGCAGGUCUUCAACAAGAAAUCGGUCUUUUUUCUGGAGGAUCUGAAAGAGCAUCUCUUGGGCCUUGAGCCCUUUUUUCUCAACUAGGUCCAGCAGAAAUUGAUUCUUCUUUUGUUUUGUAUUUUGAGCUUGUACCUCCUCUUCUUCUUCACUGUUGAUUACGUCUUCAACACUUAAAUUUAGCAGAAUGGAGGAGAGCUGCCCCAUCCUGGAACAAAGCUCUGUCUUGUGCUUCUUCAGGAAGGCUGCACCUAGCAGAUACCAAAGUGUGUGUUACUGUGCUGCACGUGACAAGGCAGGUUGGUUCCUGCUGUGGUACUCUGCAUCCUAGCCAACACACGCAAGGGCCGUUUGCUCUGUCCCACAGCCACGUGCUCCCAUUCCCUCCAGUGCACCAGCAGUGCUGCUCUCUGGCCAGGAGGCUGAGCCACCAGAAGAAAGCUCCCUCAUCAGCGGUGGAAGCAUUGGAGCCAAGGCAAGGACAGGGCCCGAGCUGAGGGAGGUCAGGUUGGUGACAGCCCAGGGACCGUCCCUUCCAGUGAUCCUACGGUAUUGAAGGAAGAGGGAAGCACUGGCUCUGUGAUAAGAUGGAUCUGAUCCUACCUGAUCUCAGUGAUGCCCUCCAGACCUCGGUGUCAUUCUGUCCAUCUGUGAUAAAGAAUUCCACUUCCUUUGCCAUUUUCCUGAUGUAGAUCUCAACAAAGAGCUGUUGGUCCUCUGGACUCUUGUAGCAAAAUGGCCACACAGAAACAAAGAGAAAAGUGUGAGAGGCAUGGAACUCUGGAGUGUCUCAUCUGUUGUCCUUCACAGAAGGACUGUGUUGCCAACUCUAGAUGGGCUCAGCGUUGGUUUGGUCGAGCAGAAUACUGAAAGCCUUAAAGAGCAGAGAUUUUACCACCAUUUUUAUGUUCUCUGAGCGUUGCACCACCACUGCAAUUUGGAGAACAUGACGUUCAAGCAGUGGCAGAGGGACU